CCUACGGGAGGCAGCAGUGGGGAAUAUUGGGCAAUGGAGGAAACUCUGACCCAGCGACGCCGCGUGCGGGAUGAAGGCCUUCGGGUUGUAAACCGCUUUCAGCAGGGAAGAAGCGAAAGUGACGGUACCUGCAGAAGAAGCACCGGCUAACUAUGUGCCAGCAGCCGCGGUAA
rnacentral:rRNA from 1 species